GGGCGAUUAGCUCAUUUGGCUAGAGCGCGUCUCUGAUAAAGACGAGGUGUCAGGUUCGAAGCCUGAAUCGCCCA
rnacentral:tRNA from 3 species